rnacentral:lncRNA from 1 species
GGAGAUUUGUUUGAACUUAGGUAUCUUUUACAGAUGUUGCAAAGCCGGUAACCGAAAAUUCCACUGAAACCUUAAGCUCCCAGCCCCAAGUGACUGCCUUGCCUCUUUCUAGCCUCAUGGCUUUCCCACAGCUCCUGGACAAGCAAGAUGGAUGCUUCUCACCUAUUUUCACAAGAACACUUCAUGAAAGAGGAGGACAUCUCACUCAACACAGAGACAGCCAAGUGGCCAAGCAUACAUCACAAUGGAUGGCACACUUAAACCUCAGCUUGACUCUCAUAGGUCUGCAGAUCAGAAAGACUGCAGACUCAAGUUUUACUUUGAGAUUUAUUUUAUGUCGCUGUCUCCAGACACACC